UAAGAGAUGAGGUGUAAAGGUGUCUCGUGUUGAACAGGUGCACAGUCUAAUUAUUCAGGAGUGAGUGCUCAGAGAAGGUGAAAAGCCUGUUUGAUUGUGUCUGCCUGUUGAAUCGGGUCACUGACGAGUCUAGUUGUUUGAGAGUACAACUUAAAGUUGGUGGUAAAUUUCAUCAAAGGCUAAAUAUAUGAGGGGACUAAUAGCGAACAAGUACCAUGAGGGAAAGUUGAAAAGAACUCUGAAGAGAGAGUUCAACAGUGCGUGAAACCAUAUAGAGUAAAACAGAUAACUGUGUUGUUAUGUGGUAUUUCCAUCAGCAGCAAGAUUGGUGAUGCAUUAGCGUGAGUGUGAGCUGUUUAUUCAGACGAUCGUUCACGUUUAGCAGAGCUGAUAUUACUGUGUAUUGGUUGUACUCAUGCAUUGAGAAACUAUACUGUUGCGACAUCGGCGGCUGCCUGACCGUACCUAGUGCGAGGGUAGUUGCUGGGCUCUGCUAAUGGUGUAGUUUAGCUGUGUGACAGCUGUGAGAUGCGUUCGCUGAACAAACCUGCUCUGUCGGUAAAUCGGUUUAUUCCUUUUUGCUGUAAGUAUGGAUUGGUAGGUGAGUGUCUCGCCAUCAAUGUUUAACAUUAGUUAUUUGACCCGUCUUGAAACACGGACCAAGGAGUUCAAAUGGCACGCGAGUCAUUGGGUUUAAUCACCCGAAGGCGAAGUGAAAUGCGAUUCUUUAUCGUUACUCGUAGUUGUUCUGCGAUCAAGCGAUAAGCUACUCAUGCUU
rnacentral:rRNA from 1 species